rnacentral:rRNA from 1 species
UACGGAGGAUCCAAGCGUUAUCCGGAUUUAUUGGGUUUAAAGGGUGCGUAGGCGGAAUAGUAAGUCAGUGGUGAAAGCCUGUCGCUUAACGACAGAACUGCCAUUGAUACUGCUAAUCUUGAGUAUAAUUGAAGUGGGCGGAAUGUGUCGUGUAGCGGUGAAAUGCUUAGAUAUGACACAGAACACCGAUUGCGAAGGCAGCUCACUAAACUAUAACUGACGCUGAGGCGCGAAAGCGUGGGGAGCAAACAGG